GCUUACGGCCAUACCACCCUGAGCACGCCUGAUCUCGGAAGCUAAGCAGGGUUGGGCUUGGUUAGUACUCGGAUGGUAGACUACUUGGGAAUACCAUGUGCUGUAAGCU
ensembl:rRNA 5S_rRNA 5S ribosomal RNA